AUGCUGACACCUGUAAGCAAACUGAAGUGCGAUGACAGUCUCAAAGGGUCUGGGAUGUCAGCCAUAGUAUCUGGCCCCACUCAGAGGGUUCUGUGAGAGACAAGUUGAUUGUUAAAGAGGUUGGUUACUACCAGGGUGGAAAAUUUCAGCUCGAAACUGGACUUCCUGAUGCUUGUAACAUGGUGCCUUCCAAAGUCAAAUGCCUGACCAGGAUCUGGUACCCCAACAUCACAGAGAUGGGGGAAAUACAUCUAAAGUCUACUGAGGACAUUCGAUUGACAGCACUGGCUGGGCUCCCACGAGAACAUUGAAGGAUGUUGUUUGGAGAUUAAAUUAUUUGUUUACUAAUCUUCUGAAUUUUGACGAUCCACUGAAUGUUGAAGCUGCAGAACAUCAUUUGUGGGACAAGGAGGACUUCUUGAAUAAAGUAGAUGACUACAUCAAGUGUUAAUGCCAGAUGAUAAAAGGAGAAGAUUGCAGGCCCGUGGAUUGUGUGUUAUAGUUUGUCUCUAGCGUGAAAAAGCAGCAAGAGGCAGCGCCUCCUCUCCCCUGUCCCCUGACUCUCCCUCUCAGUCCCCCUGCAUUGUCCCAGUCCUGUGACCAUGUUGUCCUGAAGAAGACCAUCCUCAUGACUGCCCAUUGUAGAUGGAGAAUUCAACAUAAAGACAGCAAGAAAACGUAUUGGGUUUCUAAAGAAUUAUCUGCUUACCUUAUGUUUUAGGCUGUUCUUUCAUUGCUAAUAGACAAGACUGAGUAAUUUAUAAAAAAAAGAGCUUAUCUUUUUUUAUAAAUUAUCGUUCUGCAGGCUGUGCAAGCAUGGCACUGGCAUUUACUUGGCUUCUGGGGAGGCCUCAGGGAGCUUUUACUUAUGGUGGAAGGUGAAGCAGGAGCAGGCAUGUCAUGUGGUGAGAGCAGAAAUGAGAGCGCAAGGGGGACAGCCAGAUCUCAUGAGAACUUAACUGUUGUGUGGACACACCACGCUGUGAGGGAUCCACUCCCAUGACCCAAAUACCUCCCACCAGGCCUUACCUCCAAAACUGGGGAUUACAUCUCAACAUGAUAUUUGGAAGAGACAUCUAAACUAUAUCAUCUUAACAUGUUUACUUUUUUGAACUCAUAUUGUUUAGGCUGUUGGUGAUGUUCUUGAGAAGUUGUAAUGGACCCAAAAUUGAGGCUGGAGCUUUCUUAUUCUUUUCCCAGACAAAAUUGGUUUUCUGCUGAAGUGAUGCUCAUGAUGUGUUCAGUGUAAAUUGCAGAUUGGAAUAAGAAACCUGCUACAAAUUGUGAUUGGAUGCAAAUGCCCUUAGUGUCCUCUGUGCAUGUUGGCCCUAUCUAGAUGUCGUGAAGUUUCCCAGAAUGCAUAAAGUCUUUCACUGUAGACAUUUUUAUUGAAAUGCAUAUUUUAUUUAAUUUAAGUAUAUUUUGGACCAAUUAAAUUAAUUUUUUACAAUGUAAUGCUUUA